rnacentral:rRNA from 1 species
UGUAGAAUGAACCGGCGAGUUACGAUUUGAUGCAAGGUUAAGCAGUAAAUGUGGAGCCGUAGCGAAAGCGAGUCUGAAUAGGGCGUUUAGUAUUUGGUCGUAGACCCGAAACCAGGUGAUCUACCCUUGGUCAGGUUGAAGUUCAGGUAACACUGAAUGGAGGACCGAACCGACUUACGUUGAAAAGUGAGCGGAUGAACUGAGGGUAGCGGAGAAAUUCCAAUCGAACCUGGAGAUAGCUGGUUCUCUCCGAAAUAGCUUUAGGGCUAGCCUCAAGUGAUGAUUAUUGGAGGUAGAGCACUGUUUGGACGAGGGGCCCCUCUCGGGUUACCGAAUUCAGACAAACUCCGAAUGCCAAUUAAUUUAACUUGGGAGUCAGAACAUGGGUGAUAAGGUCCGUGUUCGAAAGGGAAACAGCCCAGACCACCAGCUAAGGUCCCAAAAUAUAUGUUAAGUGGAAAAGGAUGUGGCGUUGCCCAGACAACUAGGAUGUUGGCUUAGAAGCAGCCAUCAUUUAAAGAGUGCGUAAUAGCUCACUAGUCGAGUGACACUGCGCCGAAAAUGUACCGGGGCUAAACAUAUUACCGAAGCUGUGGAUUGUCCUUUGGACAAUGGUAGGAGAGCGUUCUAAGGGCGUUGAAGCAUGAUCGUAAGGACAUGUGGAGCGCUUAGAAGUGAGAAUGCCGGUGUGAGUAGCGAAAGACGGGUGAGAAUCCCGUCCACCGAUUGACUAAGGUUUCCAGAGGAAGGCUCGUCCGCUCUGGGUUAGUCGGGUCCUAAGCUGAGGCCGACAGGCGUAGGCGAUGGAUAACAGGUUGAUAUUCCUGUACCACCUAUAAUCGUUUUAAUCGAUGGGGGGACGCAGUAGGAUAGGCGAAGCGUGCGAUUGGAUUGCACGUCUAAGCAGUAAGGCUGAGUAUUAGGCAAAUCCGGUACUCGUUAAGGCUGAGC